rnacentral:rRNA from 1 species
UACGUAGGGGGCUAGCGUUGUCCGGAAUCAUUGGGCGUAAAGCGCGUGUAGGCGGUCCGGUAAGUCCGCUGUGAAAGUCGGGGGCUCAACCCUCGGAUGCCGGUGGAUACUGUCGGGCUUGAGUACGGAAGAGGCGAGUGGAAUUCCUGGUGUAGCGGUGAAAUGCGCAGAUAUCAGGAGGAACACCAAUUGCGAAGGCAGCUCGCUGGGCCGUAACUGACGCUGAGGAGCGAAAGCAUGGGGAGCGAACAGG